GAUGAACGCUGGCGGCGUGCCUAAUACAUGCCAGUCGAGCGAACAGAUGAGGAGCUUUCUCCUCUUACGUUAGCGGCGGACGGGUGAGUAACACGUGGAUACCCUACCUAUAAGACUGGGAUAACUUCGGGAACCCGGAGCUAAUACCGGAUAAUAUAUUGAACCGCAUGGUUCAAUAGUGAAAGACGGUUUUGCUGUCACUUAUAGAUGGAUCCGCGCCGCAUUAGCUAGUUGGUAAGGUAACGGCUUACCAAGGCAACGAUGCGUAGCCGACCUGAGAGGGUGAUCGGCCACACUGGAACUGAGACACGGUCCAGACUCCUACGGGAGGGCGCAGUAGGGAAACUUCCGCAAUGGGGGAAAGCCUGACGGAGCAACGGCGCGUGAGUGAUGAAGGUCUUCGGAUCGUAAAACUCUGUUAUUAGGGAAGAACAAAUGUGUAAUUAACUAUGCACGUCUUGACGGUACCUAAUCAGAAAGCCACGGCUAACUACGUG
rnacentral:rRNA from 1 species